rnacentral:rRNA from 1 species
GAUAAGCCAUGCAAGUUGAAUGGGAUACCUAAAUUUUCCAUAGCAAACUGCUCAGUAACACAUGAUCAACUUGCCCUAUGGAGAAAAAUAACCUCGGGAAACUGAGGAUAAUAUUUCAUAGUUGAAUAGGCUUGGAAAAGUUUUUCAAUGAAAAGGAAAAGAUAAAUGGUUCUUUUCUGCCAUAGGAUAGGAUCGUGGUCGAUUAUGGUAGUUGGUGAGGUAAUGGCUCACCAAGCCGAUAAUCGAUAGGGGCCGUGAGAGCGGGAGCCCCGAGAUGGGUACUGAGACACCGACCCAGACCUUACGAGGUGCAGCAGGCGCGAGACCUCCGCAAUACACGAAAGUGUGACGGGGUUACCCAAAGUGUUCAUUUUUGAACUGUGGUAGGUGAGUAAUGUCCCCUACUAGAAAGGAGAGGGCAAGGCUGGUGCCAGCCGCCGCGGUAAAACCAGCUCUUCAAGUGGUCGGGAUGAUUAUUGGGCUUAAAGUGUCCGUAGCCGGUUUAGUAAGUUCCUGGUAAAAUCAGGUAGCUUAACUAUCUGUAUGCUAGGAAUACUACUAUACUAGAGGGCGGGAGAGGUCUGAGGUACUACAGGGGUAGGGGUGAAUCUUAUAAUCUUGUAGGACACCAGUGGCGAG